rnacentral:rRNA from 1 species
UACGUAGGUGGCAAGCGUUGUCCGGAGUUAUUGGGCGUAAAGCGCGCGCAGGCGGUGCGGUAAGUCUCUGGUGAAAGCGCUCGGCUUAACUGGGCGAGGGCCGGGGAGACUGCCACGCUGGAGGGGAGCAGAGGGCGAGUGGAAUUCCGGGUGUAGUGGUGAAAUGCGAUAGAUAUCGGAAGGAACACCAGUGGCGAAAGCGG